rnacentral:rRNA from 1 species
AUUGAACGCUGGCGGCAUGCUUUACACAUGCAAGUCGAACGGCAGCGGGGUAGUGCUUGCACUACUGUCCGGCGAGUGGCGAACGGGUGAGUAAUAUAUCGGAACGUACCGAGUAAUGGGGGAUAACCAAUCGAAAGGUUGGCUAAUACCGCAUACGUCCUGAGGGAGAAAGCGGGGGAUCGCAAGACCUCGCGUUAUUCGAGCGGCCGAUAACUGAUUAGCUAGUUGGUGGGGUAAAGGCCUACCAAGGCGACGAUCAGUAGCGGGUCUGAGAGGACGAUCCGCCACACUGGGACUGAGACACGGCCCAGACUCCUACGGGAGGCAGCAGUGGGGAAUUUUGGACAAUGGGGGCAACCCUGAUCCAGCCAUGCCGCGUGUAUGAAGAAGGCCUUCGGGUUGUAAAGUACUUUUGUUAGGGAAGAAAAGGGAAGUGCUAAUACCACUUUUUGCUGACGGUACCUAAAGAAUAAGCACCGGCUAACUACGUGCCAGCAGCCGCGGUAAUACGUAGGGUGCGAGCGUUAAUCGGAAUUACUGGGCGUAAAGCGAGCGCAGACGGUUAUUUAAGCAGGAUGUGAAAUCCCCGGGCUUAACCUGGGAACUGCGUUCUGAACUGGAUAGCUAGAGUGUGUCAGAGGGGGGUAGAAUUCCACGUGUAGCAGUGAAAUGCGUAGAGAUGUGGAGGAAUACCGAUGGCGAAGGCAGCCCCCUGGGAUAACACUGACGUUCAUGCUCGAAAGCGUGGGUAGCAAACAGG